UACGAAGGGGGCUAGCGUUGCUCGGAAUCACUGGGCGUAAAGCGCACGUAGGCGGGUCCUUAAGUCGGGGGUGAAAUCCUGGAGCUCAACUCCAGAACUGCCUUCGAUACUGAGGAUCUCGAGUCCGGGAGAGGUGAGUGGAACUGCGAGUGUAGAGGUGAAAUUCGUAGAUAUUCGCAAGAACACCAGUGGCGAAGGCGGCUCACUGGCCCGGUACUGACGCUGAGGUGCGAAAGCGUGGGGAGCAAACAGG
rnacentral:rRNA from 1 species